ACCUCCGUUGUGCAGUGGUAGCUCGCGUCCCCGGUAUGGAUGAGGCGCGUGUUCAACUCCCGGCUGAGGUA